AAGGUAGCCAAAUGCCUUGUCGGGUAAGUUCCGACGUGCAUGAAUGGAUCAACGAGGGCCCCGCUGUCCCCGCCCGGAACCCCGUGAACCCACGUAACCUGGAUGAAUAGUCCAGGGGCCCCCGGCGGGGAGAGAAGUCCCUGUGGAGCUUUACUGCAGCCUGUCGCUGCGGUGCGGCUGGAGGUGCAGAGCGUAGCCGGGAGCCGUCGAUCCCAGCCCCUCCGGGGGCUGGGGGAGGCGCCGAUGUAACACCGGCCACCUCUGGCUGUGCCGCUAACCGGGGCCUGUGCCCUGGGACAACGGCAGGUGGGCAGUUUGGCUGGGGCGGCACCCCCUCGAAAAGGUAUCGAGGGGGCCCAAAGGUCGGCUCAGGCGGGACAGAAACCCGCCGUAGAGUGCAAGGGCAAAAGCCGGCCUGACUGCGCCCUUGACGGUAAGGGGCGCAGGGGGGAAACCCGGGCCUAGCGAUCCAUCGCCUCCCACCGAUGGGGGGCGGUGGUGACAGAAAAGUUACCCCAGGGAUAACAGGCUCGUCGCGGGCGAGAGUCCCCAUCGACCCCGCGGCUUGGUACCUCGAUGUCGGCUCUUCCCAUCCUGGCCGUGCAGCAGCGGCCAAGGGUGCGCCUGUUCGGCGAUUAAAGGGGAACGUGAGCUGGGUUUAGACCGUCGUGAGACAGGUCGGAUGCUAUCUACCGGGGGUGCUGGCCGCCUGAGGGGAAGGCGCCCUUAGUACGAGAGGAACAGGGUGCCGCGGCCUCUGGUCUACCGGUUGUCCUACAGGGCAUAGCCGGGCAGCUACGCCGCGUCCGAUAAGGCCUGAAGGCAUCUAAGGCCGAAGCGGUCCCCGAAAAUAGGCGGCCACUCCCU
rnacentral:rRNA from 1 species